GACGAACGCUGGCGGCGUGCUUAACACAUGCCAGUCGAACGGAAAGGCCUGCUUUCCCUUGUGGAUUGCGGGUGCUCGAGUGGCGAACGGGUGAGUAACACGUGAGUGAUCUGCCCCCAACUUGGGUAUAAGCCUGGGAAACUGGGUCUAAUUCCCGAUAGGACUGCAGGGUGGUGCCUGUGGUGGAAAACGAUUUUCUAGUGGUUGGGGAUGAGCUCGCGGCCUAUCAGCUUGUUGGUGGGGUAAUGGCCUACCAAGGCGGCGACGGGUAGCCGGCCUGAGAGGGUGGACGGCCACAUUGGGACUGAGAUACGGCCCAGACUCCUACGGGAGGUAGCAGUGGGGAAUAUUGCACAAUGGGCGGAAGCCUGAUGCAGCGACGCCGCGUGGGGGAUGACGGCCUUCGGGUUGUAAACUCCUUUCGACCGCGAGGAAGCCACCUGGUUGGAAGGGUGGUGACGGUAGUGGUAGAAGAAGCACCGGCUAACUACGUG
rnacentral:rRNA from 1 species